UACGUAGGGUGCGAGCGUUGCCCGGAUUUAUUGGGCGUAAAGGGCGCGUAGGCGGCCACGCACGUCCGUUGUGAAAUCGCUCGGCUCAACUGGGCGGGGUCAGCGGAUACGGAGUGGCUGGAGCAAGCUAGGGGGCAAUGGAAUUCCCGGUGUAGUGGUGGAAUGCGUAGAUAUCGGGAGGAACACCAGUGGCGAAGGCGGUUGCCUGGAGCUUUGCUGACGCUGAUGCGCGAAAGCGUGGGGAGCGAGUCGG
rnacentral:rRNA from 1 species